AAAAAACAAGAAAAUGUUACUGUUAUGUUUUACUUUGGUGCUUGUGGCAUUCCUAAUGUUUGCAACUUCAUUUGCAACUCCCUAUUUUAUCGAAAUAAACUAUUCAACUGGAGUACACAAUGCUGGCUUAUGGAAGUACUGCAAACCUGUAAAUGGUAAAACGACAUGCAUAAACACAGAAAUUGAAGUGGACUUCCGUAAGUAUUCAACAAUUGUUAGGUUUUUUUUCUAAGCUCUAAUACAUCCAGAUUUCUAACUAUGUUGAUCUAUCGCCAACGAUGAGUCCUGUGAAGUUCAAAGUAACGUUAUGCAAUUCUUGCGGGACCGAAUUAUAUUUAAAAUUCGGUUUAAACAUAUGUAUUUAAAGAGGAUCGGGAAACCAGUUAUUGCAACUUAUGUUAAUUCCUCUCCACUUUUUCUGGUACGAGUGCUGGUGCCAGUGCUGCCUUGUAGCCGCAUUAGCCUGCUCUUUCUCGAAAUCUCUCUUAACACGGGCCAGCCAUUUAUCGUCCCCUUCCGACGGACUAUCAUCAUUUCUCAAGACCAUACAUGCAAAUUGUGUCAAUUGCAUGAAUUUUAUGUAGAUGAAACGACAGUCUAGCUUACGGAAUUUUACCAACUUGUUUCGAAUAAUUUAACAUCUCAUACACAGUAUAUCUACAAAAAAAUUAACCUUCCAAGUAUGUAUACUCUAUUUCAGAACGUUGAAACACUCCGAAGCAAAAAUUCCACAAAAAAAGCUUUUUGCUUUUUUUAAGGAUACAAGGUGAUUCAUAAAACUUUUAAAAAAAUGAAUAAAACGUUCAUGUUUGACUUGAUUGAAAUAGUUACAAGAGAGACAUACGGUUCCUUACAGAUGUUCAAACUUCAUUAAUCCAUAAAAUAAAUAUACAACUGACGGUAUCGCAUGAACUCCAAAUAGAAAGAGAUAGCUAGGACAUUUAGUCAAACACAAUCAUGAAUAUAUCGAAAAAUGAAAAUUGCAAAUCAGACAAAAUGUUGAGGGUUUAAAAAACGACUGUAGUAAGCUAAUCCUAUGGAAGUUGAUUUUUUUUUUAUCACAAAAGAAAAAUACUAUUUUGCAAAGAAAUCAAUUGCAUCACUGAUAAAAUGAUAAUUUAUCGUAUUCAUUACCCGAACGACUCAAAUGACCUACAAAAUUCUGCAGUUAAGUUAUCAAAACUCUGUUUUAACAGAGGGAUGUUUAUACAUAACGUGAAGGGCUAGAUCUACAAAAUUGAAAACAAUUAGUUUAAAUAAUGUUAUCCUCUCUCUCUCGUUUUGAAAGCGUAUGUGAAAGUUUGUCAAGCGAAGUCUAUAAUGGCUCUAGUGUACGGCAUAGUUGGUGUGGUAUCAAUAGGUUUGAGACUGUUCUGUUUCCAAGAGAGAA
rnacentral:lncRNA from 1 species